GAUGAACGCUGGCGGCGUGCCUAAUACAUGCAAGCCGAGCGAACGGACGAGAAGCUUGCUUCUCUGAUGUUAGCGGCGGACGGGUGAGUAACACGUGGAUAACCUACCUAUAAGACUGGGAUAACUUCGGGAAACCGGAGCUAAUACCGGAUGAUAUUUUGAACCGCAUGGUUCAAAAGUGAAAGACGGUCUUGCUGUCACUUAUAGAUGGAUCCGCGCUGCAUUAGCUAGUUGGUAAGGUAACGGCUUACCAAGGCAACGAUGCAUAGCCGACCUGAGAGGUUGACGGGCACCCUGUGACUGAGGAACCGCCCCGACCUCCAAGGGGAGGCACGGUUGGGAAUUCUCCGGCAAGGGGCAAAAGCGUAACGGGCAAACGGCGCGAGAGUGAUAAGGAUCUUCGGUUCGUAAAACUCUGUUUUUGGGGAAGAAAAAAUGUGUAAGAAAAGGUGACAAUCUGACGGGACCUAAAGAAGAAGGCCCGGGCAAACUCCGG
rnacentral:rRNA from 1 species